rnacentral:lncRNA from 1 species
GUCCCGGAAGUCUCUGCUGUUCCUUCUUCCCUGUUCGCUCAUCUCUCAUCGCUGUUUGCUGUCUUUUCUCACUCUUGCCUCCCCUACGACACCUUCACCUUCACCUUUCCUACACUGCGCACUUACUGCAGUGCCCUUGAGUCUUCCCUCACUGGUAUCCCUGCUUGGGUACCCUCAAGGCAUCUGUGACUCUUGCGCUGCCCGCUUCUCCACCUGUGCAGUCCCUGGGCCAGGGCCUGCACUGUCUUGCUGGCCACUGAAUAGGAAAGGCCCACUACAGCGCCUAACACAAGCUUCCUCAUGUGCAUGCAGGCUGCCAGGUGCUGGGGCUGCACAAGCAUGUCACAAAGGCGGGGAGCUCCAGGAUGGGCUGAUGGUGAGUGGACAGGAUGAACACCAGGGAAAGAAUAUUGACUGGACCCAGAAGGGAAUAGGGAGGUCUGGCAUUCCAUCCCCUCCUUCCUUGGCUGUCAGCAAGAGUGGGAAGAAGCCGAUCCUACAGCUUCACUGAGGAAAGAGAGAGGCUAUGGUUUUCUGCAGUAACUGCAGAAAGUGGACCAAGAGUGAAGACAUGGAGAUGACACCAUGCACGGGGGACACAGAACCCUGUCUCAGGCUCCUGAGGAAGCACCUAAAAGUAAAAGCAAGAAACCCUCAUUAGUUGGCUGAAUCCUUCAUUAGACCACUUUUGCUUGGUAAAGGAUGUUACAUGAAAG